rnacentral:lncRNA from 1 species
GCAUUAGUAUCCACGAAUAUGUUGCAUUGCAUAGUUAAUUGUUGGUGUGAGUAAAUACUGAAUGAUCCAAUAGUCUCUGAGCUAAGACCAGGAGCCUUUGACUACGCCCUGGCAGGUAUAGUAAAGACCAGGAGCCUUUGACUACGCCCUGGCAAUGGUAAGUACAGAGGUGUUAUACACAUAUACAUAUAUGACAGGAAGACCAGGUGCUCGAUUCUACGCCCUGGCACGGAAGUUACUGAGGCUAUGUGGUGACAGGUUUACUCUUGAUGUGGCUUGUCUGUGUUAUGAUGCAUUCCAUGAGACCAUAUGUUAUGACUGAUUUUAUUAUUCUACUCACUGGGCUAUAGAGCUCAUCCCACUCCCUUAAUCCCAAGUCUUGCAGGAUUCAGUAUACAGUGUACAGAGGGAAAGUCCAGAAGAGUUCAGAAAGAGAAACUGAGACUUGUAAUAGUUAGAGUGGACAUGUAUUUAUAAAGAGCUGUAUCAGUUGUAUAUUCAGUUAGAAUUGUGCUUGACUUAGUAAUGUUAGUGUUGUAAAUCUUUGGUUUAUGUACAUGAUCUGUAUAUGUAUAUGUUUUACAGAGUAUGUGAAAAACCAGGCUUAACAGGUAUGAAAUAACCUAUCUAGAGCAAGCUCUAGUCAGGGGUACAGAGUACUGAGUACAGAGAUAGUGCAUGCACAGGUU